rnacentral:rRNA from 1 species
AGUGGGGAAUAUUGGACAAUGGGGGGAACCCUGAUCCAGCCAUGCCGCGUGUGUGAAGAAGGCCUUAUGGUUGUAAAGCACUUUAAGCGAGGAGGAGGGUACUGGUAUUAAUACUACCAGGUACUGGACGUUACUCGCAGAAUAAGCACCGGCUAACUCUGUGCCAGCAGCCGCGGUAAUACAGAGGGUGCGAGCGUUAAUCGGAUUUACUGGGCGUAAAGCGUGCGUAGGCGGCUAAUUGAGUCGGAUGUGAAAUCCCCGAGCUUAACUUGGGAAUUGCAUUCGAUACUGGUUAGCUAGAGUGUGGGAGAGGAUGGUAGAAUUCCAGGUGUAGCGGUGAAAUGCGUAGAGAUCUGGAGGAAUACCGAUGGCGAAGGCAGCCAUCUGGCCUAACACUGACGCUGAGGUACGAAAGCAUGGGGAGCAAA